AGCGAACGCUGGCGGCAGGCCUAACACAUGCAAGUCGAACGAAGCCUUCGGGCUUAGUGGCGGACGGGUGAGUAACACGUGGGAACGUACCUUUUGGUUCGGAAUAACGCAGAGAAAUUUGCGCAAUACCGAAUGAGCCCUUCGGGGGAAAGAUUUAUCGCCGAAAGAUCGGCCCGCGUUGGAUUAGGUAGUUGGUGUGGUAAAGGCGCACCAAGCCUACGAUCCAUAGCUGGUCUGAGAGGAUGAUCAGCCACACUGGGACUGAGACACGGCCCAGAAUCCUACGGGAGGCAGCAGUGGGGAAUCUUGCGCAAUGGGCGAAAGCCUGACGCAGCCACGCCGAGUGAAUGAUGAAGGUCUUAGGAUUGUAAAAUUCUUUUACCAGGGACGAUAAUGACGGUACCUGGAGAAAAAGCCCCGGCUAACUUCGUGCCAGCCGCCGCCGUAACAC
rnacentral:rRNA from 1 species